AGAAUAUAUUUGUUUGAGAAUAAUAAUCUCCGCUCACUUCACUACACUCGCAAGUACAUCGUCUCGUGGCUGUACACUAUACGGUUACUAUACAGAGAAACAGCCAACUCGUAUUUUCCCGUACAGGUUUAAAAAGGUAAUAAUACUACACUAUACAUAGCUAGGUGGUAGUUUUAGUGCAGAUAAAAUCGUGUUCUUAUACUUCACGUGUCUCUUUACUGCGGUGGCGGCAUGUUUAUUGGCAUAGAGUUGUGCCAACCGCGUACUACCAUUUUAAUAGCCUCCGUAUCCAAUAAAUGGAUACCUAUAACGGUGUGUCAAUGUGGUGCUUUUCCCUUGACGACCACCUACUAUAAUAUAGUAU